rnacentral:rRNA from 1 species
CCUACGGGCGGCAGCAGUGGGGAAUAUUGGACAAUGGGGGCAACCCUGAUCCAGCCAUGCCGCGUGUGUGAAGAAGGCCCUCGGGUUGUAAAGCACUUUCAGUGAGGAAGAACGCCUGGUGGUUAAUACCCAUCAGGAAAGACAUCACUCACAGAAGAAGCACCGGCUAACUCCGUGCCAGCAGCCGCGGUAAUACGGAGGGUGCGAGCGUUAAUCGGAAUUACUGGGCGUAAAGCGCGCGUAGGUGGCUUGAUAAGCCGGUUGUGAAAGCCCCGGGCUCAACCUGGGAACGGCAUCCGGAACUGUCAAGCUAGAGUGCAGGAGAGGAAGGUAGAAUUCCCGGUGUAGCGGUGAAAUGCGUAGAGAUCGGGAGGAAUACCAGUGGCGAAGGCGGCCUUCUGGACUGACACUGACACUGAGGUGCGAAAGCGUGGGUAGCAAACAGGAUUAGAACCCUAGUAGUC